rnacentral:rRNA from 1 species
AACGAACGCUGGCGGCGUGCUUAACACAUGCAAGUCGAACGAAGUGGCGAACGGGUGAGUAAUACGUGGGUAACCUGCCCUCCUUUUUGGGAUACGCCUUGGAAACGUGGUCAAAUACCGAUUAGAGGGGGGUGGGGUUGCGGCCUAUGAGGUUGUUGGUGGGGUGCUGGCCGACCAAGGUGGUGUCGGGUAGCCGGCCUGAGAGGGUGACCGGACACGUUGGGAGGGAGAUACUGCCCAGAGUCCUACGGGAGGGAGCAGUGGGGGAUAGUGCACAAUGGGCGAACGCCUGAUGCAGCGACGCCGCGUGGGGGAUGAAGGCUUUCGGGUUGUAAAGCGCGGUCGCUAGCGAACGGGUAGGGGGAGAAGAAGCGCCGGCUAAUCACGUGCCAGCAGCCGCGUAAUUC